rnacentral:rRNA from 1 species
UACGUAGGGGGCGAGCGUUGUCCGGAAUCAUUGGGCGUAAAGCGCGUGUAGGCGGCCCGGUAAGUCCGCUGUGAAAGUCCAGGGCUCAACCCUGGGAUGCCGGUGGAUACUGUCGGGCUAGAGUCCGGAAGAGGAGUGUGGAAUUCCUGGUGUAGCGGUGAAAUGCGCAGAUAUCAGGAAGAACACCAAUGGCGAAGGCAGCUCUCUGGGACGGUACUGACGCUGAGACGCGAAAGCGUGGGGAGCGAACAGG